rnacentral:lncRNA from 1 species
UCCACUGAUCCCUACUCCCUACUCCCUAGACAACUCAGCUCAGGCCAAAAUGGAAAAAAUUUUCCAUUUGUUAAGUCGCUUCAAAGCUUGAUGUAGAAGCUCAGCUCAGCUCAGGCCAAAAUCGAAGCUCUCUCUCAUUUCUCUCGUUGAAGCUCUCUUUCAUUUCUCUCAUCUCUAGCUUCUUCAUUUGCAAUCUCGGAGCUCCCCACAAGUUGUCACUGUAAGCUUUUUCUUCAUUUACCACAAGUUGAAUAGUACUUAUAGUUGUAGGCUAUAGUUUAACUUUUUUUCUUAUUCUUCUUUAUUUGCGGAAUUGUGGUCUGUAGCUUUUUUUUUCCCUUAUUCUGCUUUUGGUUUUUCUGCUAUUGUUGAAUAAAUGGAUAUUUAAGUUAAAGAAAUUUUGACACUUUUUUUAAUCAAAGUUGAAUAAAUGGAUAUUUAAGUUAAAUUUAGACUUGGGAAAUAGUGGCUUAUGUUCGAAUACUUCAUGUUCUAUAAUUUCUAAAAUCAACUUUUUCAUUAAUAUUAAUUAAUAAAGUUGGAUUCCAUAUUUAAUUAGGGCCUGAAAAUUAAAUUUAGAGUUAAUUCUAAAAAGUAGACACCAAUUUAAAAUUAUUUAAUUUAAUUGUCAUUAUAAGGUUAUUUUUUUACUAAAUUAGAAGACAAAAAUCAUACUUGAUUUGAGCAUAUUUUUAUUAUUUUCUUUUUUAUGAUAAAUCUUAAAAUUGCAUAUAAAUUUAGCAUUAAACAAAGCAAUUGAAUUUGGCAGGUGAGAUUUAUCUCGUCUCAAUUCUCAAGUUAAUAUGGAUAAAUUAAUUCAACUUUUAAAAAUUUCAAGAAAUUUUAGUUUGAGUCACUGUUCUGUUCUACAAACCUCAGUGAUCGAAGUGAUGAAAACACGUGUAUUUUCAAAAGAUUUAUGUUUUCUACUUAUGAUGAUGCAUCUCUCAGUUUCACAGCAUGGUUUAUAUGUUCUUUGUUUGUCUUUUCAGCAAACUUUAAGGCAUACAUGUGCUUGUGGCAGACUCACAAUGAGUAUGCAUGUGAUUGAAUAGAGCAAGUGCUCAUAAUGAACAUAAAUUGCCACCCAUCAAAUUUUGUAGUAGUCUAUUAGAGGCUUGGUUAUUAUUGUUUUUUAGAGGUCAUAAGGGAAAAUAUGCAUGAACCAACGGAAAAGAAGAAUAUUAUUACAAAGUGAAUAAGAAAUUAUUUCAACAUAUAUUAUGUCGUGCAUUCUUCAACAGUGAUCUCAUGGCUUGCUUUUAUGACCAAAGGGAAAUAAUUCAAACAAAAAUAAUAUUGCAUACAUAUACAUAUAUUAUAUACAAUUGUUGAACAAUUAUAUUAACUUUUAGUUUAUUUGGAUUCCAAG